CAGCGCNGUGGCAUUUGCUGCCAGGAUUAACACUGCCUUUGUUUCCCAGCUCUGUUACCAAUACAAUAAUUCUGAUUUUCCAAGGAGGAUUUACCUGUCCAGCUGCACUUUCAGCAAAACCAAGCAGCCAAUGUGGGCACACAGCAGCUUGUUUGGGAGUUCUGGCUGAGUGAUCAGAGCUGCCACAGGGCUCCUGAGCCCCAGCCACAGCCUGGGCACCAGGCUUCUCAAUAUUGGACCAGUUAAGCUCAGGUGUAACACAUGACAGGAUCUGAACUCCUUCUUUUCUUGUUUAUUUUACAGAUACACUGCAUCUGACUGUUCCAGCUUUAAAACUCAGAACAAAAACCAAAAUGAGUGUAACCCUGCCCUUUUCGCAACAAAAUAAGGUACAUUUCUAAAUUUGAGUGACUUUUGCAGCACCACUACUAUUUAAUCUGGCAUAAGGAAUAUAAAAUGUUUUCUUUGCCUUCAGAGCUCCUUUGGCUGCUGGCAGCCCUUGAUAAUGAUUUCAUGCUCCUGCAAACAAGCACUUCUGAAAUGAAAGCCCCUCGCUGGUGUUGUCAUGUGAGAUUACAAUUCCCAGUUAGACAAGGGUGCUUUAGGAGGAUUGACAGAAUAAUACAAAAGAUUAUUGCAAUGUGUGUCAUCUUUUUAAAGGUACCCCAAGUGUAACUAAUGUGGCUUAAUAAGAAUAGGCUUAGUUUUACAGUAAACAGAAAAACAGAGGUAUGUUUCAGCUCUUGGGCUACUUUUGUUCACAACAAACAUUUCCCCAUCAUUAUGGUUUUGUUACCAGUAACACUUUGCUUGUUUUAAGCCUGAAUUUCAUAGCACAGUAGAUGCCUUUAUCAAGUUAAAUACUGAACUGGUAAAGUACACUCUGAGCCUUGAGAGGACUUCUUAAAAAUAUUAAAGUUAUGUUCAGAUAACAAUCAGAAGGCAGGAAAGAACCUUUGUAAAAACAAUCCAAUGGAAGUGCACCACACAAAGCAAUUAAGGUGUGCACAGAAUUUCUGGUGCAUUUCUUUCCAACACUGACUGAGAGUUUUUGAAGUUCUAAUGCUGUUGGCACAGACCCAGCAGUGCAGAAGAGCAGAAUAUUCCCAUGAGAAUUGUGCAAGCCUUAAGGACUUGUCCCAGAGAACUCCACCAAAGCCCUCUCAGCCUGGAGCUCAGCAAGCACAGAGUGCUUCAGGACCUUUCCUCAGCCUGCAGACAGCUUUGCUGUUUUCUCCUUGCAAACACCUAGGAACUAUUAAUAGUACCUGAUAGAGAAACAAGGUUGUGUAAGGGGGAAGAAAUUGGUUUAAUUUUCCAUGAACACUUGUGUUUCUGAUAAGUCAUCUGUUUAUCUAAGUUGGGAUUGAAGUGGCACUGUAACAAAACUGACCACAAGUAAUUCAUUUUACUCUUUGGAUAAAAAUGCUAAAUACAGCCUUAGUUUUUAGUAACUAACUAAAUCAGGCAAGAUUUUAUGUUCAGAUUUUUGUGUGCUGGCACUUGUGACAGGUACCAUACACAGAUAAAGAAAUGGACAGCAAAUGAGUAGACAGGAAAAAUAACAAAUCCCACUUUUAUUCUCCUUGCCAAGCAAUGCAAGCACCUUAUUUCAUUUCCUAACAGCCAUGACAACAGCAGCCCAUGGGUAACAGAGCCCUGCUGGGCAGAAGCUGUGUGCUCACCCUGAGGGGAACAAACUGUGUGCCAGCUGGGGCCAGGGCAGCUCAGCCCCAGAGCAGAGACCUCACUGCAGCCUGUGGCUGCCCAGGAGUGAAAGUGGCCUCCCCAGGGAAGUGAAACAGGAGCUCUGCCACAGCAGCCCAAGGAAAGGAGCUGGGGGUGCCCCAGUGUCAGGGGAUGAGCCCACAGCUCAGGACUUGCAAACAGACUUGGAUGAAAAGGGGCUGGAGUCAAGCAGAAUGCAGUGAGUUUAAAAUGAGUUUUACAGGAGGAGUUUUGGAGGGUUGCAGCAGGGAGCUCCACAGUCCUGCUGGACCCUCGGAGCUGUUUCUGUCCUGGUAGCCCAGCCCUGCUCCAGCAGCACAGCAGCACUCUGUGCUCAGAGCUCCAGGAGCAUUCCACCUGAGCCAGCCCAGCACACAGGGCUGGAGAGCCACAGGCAGCACAGAGAAUGCCUGAGCUCUCCCCUGCUAUGAGCCUGCACUCACAGGAAACAAACCAGAAAAUGUGAUUUUGUGCUGCUCUCCUCCCACUGCACCUUCAGCUUACCAAUCUGUGGGCACACAGCUGUCCCACAUCACCCAGGGCACUGCUGGGCAACUCAGCAUCUCUUGCAUUUGUUCAACACACACAAAAUGUGAGCAGUUUCAGUUUGCUUAGAGUAAUGUUGAAAUACUGCAAUAGCUACAGAAAAACUGAUCUAGAAAUAAAGUAGAUAAAAUGAUAGAAAAAUACCUACUUCAGUAUUAAUAUUCACAUAAACUUUUCUUAUUUCAUAGAUGGAAAAACUCAAGUAACAUCAAUUUAAACUGGUCAAAAUAUUGUUUGAGAGCAUUCCUUAGUAGUCAUUUUUCAUCUCUGAACUCCAAGAUGACUUCUCAUCCUCCCUCCUGCACAUGACCUGGCUGACAUCUCUACAAAGGAGAGCAGGGAGAAGAAAGCCAACUUUGAUGCAGGUAAGAACAGGGAAGCACACCAUGAGCCUUCUGACAGGCAUUAUCCCAGCCUCCAGCCAUUAGCUCCUGAGAAACUUCCUGAGCCAAGGAUGGCUUCUCUGUGCUUAAUCAAGGCAGCAGCUCUCCUCUCCACGAGCCUGUGUAACCUGCCUCUGAACCCGGGUCAGCUUUGAGGAUGCACAGCAUCCCGUGGCAGAGAGCUCCACAGGCAAUGGCACAGUGGGCAGGGCUGCCUCCAGUGCCUGCUUUGAACCAGCCUGUCUGAGCCUGCCUCCUUCCACCUUGUUCCAGGAACCAGCACAGACAGCCCAGCUCCAUCCAUCCCUGAUCCACAGACAGCUGAGCUCCAUCCAUUCCUGCUGCAGAGAGAGCUGAGCUCCAUCCAUCCCUGAUCCACAGACACCUCAGCUCCAUCCAUUCCUGAUCCACAGACACCUCAGCUCCAUCCCGUUUCCAUCCCAUUCCUGCUGCAGUAACAGUGGA